UGGGGAAUUUUGGACAAUGGGCGCAAGCCUGAUCCAGCCAUGCCGCGUGCGGGAAGAAGGCCUUCGGGUUGUAAACCGCUUUUGUCAGGGAAGAAAUCUUCUGAGUUAAUACCUCGGGAGGAUGACGGUACCUGAAGAAUAAGCACCGGCUAACUACGUGCCAGCAGCCGCGGUAAUACGUAGGGUGCAAGCGUUAAUCGGAAUUACUGGGCGUAAAGCGUGCGCAGGCGGUUUUGUAAGACAGAGGUGAAAUCCCCGGGCUCAACCUGGGAACUGCCUUUGUGACUGCAAGGCUUGAGUGCGGCAGAGGGGGAUGGAACUCCGCGUGUAGCAGUGAAAUGCGUAGAUAUGCGGAGGAACACCGAUGGCGAAGGCAAAUCCCCUGGGCCUGCACUGACGCUCAUGCACGAAAGCGUGGGGAGCAAACAGGAUUAGAUACCCUGGUAGUCCACGCCCUAAACGAUGUCAACUGGUUGUUGGGAAGGUUCCUUCUCAGUAACGUAGCUAACGCGUGAAGUUGNCCGCCUGGGGAGUACGGCCGCAAGGUU
rnacentral:rRNA from 1 species